GCACCGAUAGCUUAACGGAUAGAGCAUCAUUGUGACUGAGUGAGAGAUACGGGUUCGAAUCCCGUUCGGUGUG
rnacentral:tRNA from 1 species